UUUUAUGGGCCUAUGCGCACCCAUGCACCCAUGCAUCAUUAAUGACCAAAUUUGGAAAGUGAAUUCAAGUGUGCAAAAAAAAAUGGAUUCAACUAUAAAUAGAGCCUCAUAUGCUCAGCAUUUCACACACAUUCGCGCCAAUUUUGAUCCCCUAACUCUAACCCUCACAUUGCAAAGGAUAAACCUGAGAAAUUCACUUGAAGUUGAGUUUGAAUUUCCACUGUUUUGAAAUUCAAAUCUCCAGGAAUCCACAACCUUUUGAGCAUUCAAUCCUUCUUCUGC
rnacentral:lncRNA from 1 species